CCGGUCCUCGAACUCCGACCCCCCACCGUCCCCACAGGAUGCAGCCAGUCGGUCUCGCCCGGGCUGGACGCAGAGAGGCGGCCUCUGGCUCCUCGGCAGCGGCUCUGUGUGACCCUCGCUGGCCCCCUUGGCGCCCCUAGAGCCCGGUUCCCGGCGCAGAGCCUCACAGGUGGGAGGGUGCGGUCAGCAAGGUUCUCGGGCGGGCUGGCCGGAGUCUCCAGGGGCCGGGCUCUGCCUCAUCGCACUCGCCUCCCAGCGUGGCAGGUCUCCAGGCUGCGGGGGACCCAGAGGGGACGUGAGGAGGCCCCUCCUCCGGGUCAGCGUGGACAGCCGCUCCGAGGGGCCGGCUGCGGCCAGGACGCGGAGGACGGGGCAGGUGCACGGGGCCGCCAGAGGCCCGCCCCGCACACUCCCCCGUAACAGCAGCAGCAACAGGAGACUUGGAAGUUUAACUCAUCCCGUUUCAGAUGUGCCGGUGGGGAGAAGCUGAGGUCCACAGCUCCCAGAGGAACCUGGGGUCUCCCAGUUAAGUCGCGUUGGAGGAAGAGCCUGAGUCCUCCCCCGAACUCCUGUUCACGUCUCACUGUGCACACCCCGGACGCAGCCACCUCCUCCGCCCGUCUAUCACGCAGGGUGAUUCCUCUCUCAGACUACCAUCUUCUCCAGGAAGCAGCUAACGCCUCCAGCUACCUUCUCCAGCACCUGGCAUGGUUGCCACGGAGAUGACUGACCCUCCAGGAAAGAGGUGAGGCAGGUGAGGCAGGUGAGGAAGCACCUUUGUCCACCUGGAGCACUGGGGAAAAGACUUCUGUGACUUGCCUUCAUCCAAGAUGCGAGAGCCCACUGCGUCCAGUGGGGCCAUCUUUGGGGGGCAGAUUGCACCCCUCCUGCGCCUAACUCUCCCCUUGGUUCCCUGUUUCUGCUUAUCCUUCCACCUGUGUAUCCCCCAAGCUGGGGGCCUUGACUAAUAAAACUGGGGUAGUCAAAGGGGGGUUCAGGGGCAGUAGAUGUCAUCAGGCCCGGCAGGGACUCAGGCAGACGGCCCGGCCUUCAGACCCCACUCUUGACCUGAAUAUCCCUGGCUGGAGACCAGAGGCUCUUGCCUCAGUCCUUCCACGUGCCCCUGGGGUCCAGCCACCUCCCUCCGUGGGACCCACGCUUUAUAAAGGCCAAGA